UUAGAGUUUGAUCCUGGCUCAGAACGAACGUUGGCGGCGUGGAUUAGGCAUGCAAGUCGGGGGAAUCCCAGCAAUGGGGGAACCGGCGUAAGGGGCAGUAAGGCGUGGGUACCUACCCCGGGGUUCGGGAUAGCCGUCUGAGAGGGCGGGUAAUACCGGAUGACCUGGUGACAGCAAAGAUUUAUCGCCCUGGGAGGGGCCCACGUGAUAUUAGGUAGUUGGCGGGGUAACGGCCCACCAAGCCUUAGAUGUCUAGCGGGUGUGAGAGCACGACCCGCGCCACUGGCACUGAGACACUGGCCAGACACCUACGGGUGGCUGCAGUCGAGGAUCUUCGGCAAUGGGCGCAAGCCUGACCGAGCGACGCCGCGUGGGCGAUGAAGGCCUUCGGGUUGUAAAGCCCUGUCGGGGGGGAGAAAAGGGUAAAACUUUGAUCUAUCCCCGGAGGAAGCACGGGCUAAGUUCGUGCCAGCAGCCGCGGUAAGACGAACCGUGCGAACGUUGUUCGGAAUCACUGGGCUUAAAGGGCGCGUAGGCGGGCCUCCAAGUCCGGGGUGAAAGCCUCCAGCCUAACUGGAGAAGCGCCUCGGAGACUGGGGGCCUCGAGGGAGGUAGGGGCAAGCGGAACUAUGGGUGGAGCGGUGAAAUGCAUUGAUAUCCAUAGGAACUCCGGUGGCGAAGGCGGCUUGCUGGACCUCUUCUGACGCUGAGGCGCGAAAGCCAGGGGAGCAAACGGGAUUAGAUACCCCGGUAGUCCUGGCCCUAAACGUUGGGGACUAGGUAGUCGACCAGACAUGGGUUGACUGCCGGAGCAAAAGUGCUAAGUCCCCCGCCUGGGGGAGUAUGGUCGCAAGGCUGAAACUCAAAGGAAUUGACGGGGGCUCACACAAGCGGUGGAGCAUGUGGCUCAAUUCGAGGCUACGCGAAGAACCUUAUCCUGGGCUUGACAUGUGCGAAAGCGCCAGCAGGUAGGACACGGAAACGUGAACGAACGGUAUCCAAUCCGGAAGCUGGUACAGGUGCUGCAUGGCUGUCGUCAGCUCGUGUCGUGAGAUGUCGGGUUAAGUCCCAUAACGAGCGAAACCCUUAUCUUCAGUUGCCAGCGGGUCAUGCCGGGGACUCUGGAGAGACUGCCGGUGUCAAACCGGAGGAAGGUGGGGAUGACGUCAAGUCCUCAUGGCCUUUAUGCCCAGGGCUGCACACGUGCUACAAUGGCGUGAACAGAGGGACGCAAGAGCGCAAGCUGGAGCUAAUCCCACAAAGCACGCCCCAGUUCAGAUCGAAGGCUGCAACUCGCCUUCGUGAAGUCGGAAUCGCCAGUAAUCGCGGGUCAGCAACACCGCGGUGAAUGUGUUCCUGAGCCUUGUACACACCGCCCGUCAAGCCACGAAAGGGUAGAGCCGCCGAAGUCGUCGCAAGGCGCCGAAGCGGAGAUGCCUGAUUGGGACUAAGUCGUAACAAGGUAACC
rnacentral:rRNA from 1 species